GUGCUCACUUCAGCAGCACAUAUAUUGAAAUUGGAACAAUACAGAGAUUAUCAUGGCCCCUGUGCAAGGAUGACAGGCAAAUUUGUGAAGCGUUCCAUAUUUAA
ensembl:snRNA U6 U6 spliceosomal RNA